rnacentral:tRNA from 1 species
GGAGAGAUGUCCGAGCGGUUUAAGGAACCGGUCUUGAAAACCGGCGAUGUGUCAAAGCAUCCGUGGGUUCGAAUCCCACUCUCUCCGCCA